rnacentral:rRNA from 1 species
CAGUAAGUUAAUACCUUGCUGUUUUGACGUUACCAACAGAAUAAGCACCGGCUAACUUCGUGCCAGCAGCCGCGGUAAUACGAAGGGUGCAAGCGUUAAUCGGAAUUACUGGGCGUAAAGCGCGCGUAGGUGGUUCGUUAAGUUGGAUGUGAAAGCCCCGGGCUCAACCUGGGAACUGCAUCCAAAACUGGCGAGCUAGAGUAUGGCAGAGGGUGGUGGAAUUUCCUGUGUAGCGGUGAAAUGCGUAGAUAUAGGAAGGAACACCAGUGGCGAAGGCGACCACCUGGGCUAAUACUGACACUGAGGUGCGAAAGCGUGGGGAGCAAACAGGAUUAGAUAUCCUGGUAGUCCACGCCGUAAACGAUGUCGACUAGCCGUUGGGCUCCUUGAGAGCUUAGUGGCGCAGCUAACGCAUUAAGUCGACCGCCUGGGGAGUACGGCCGCAAGGUUAAAACUCAAAUGAAUUGACGGGGGCCCGCACAAGCGGUGGAGCAUGUGGUUAAUUCGAAGCAACGCGAAGAACCUUACCAGGCCUUGACAUGCAGUAACG